UUUCAGCUCAGCAGACCCCUCAUCUGUCUGCUGCUCAGUCUUCUGUGUAAACCCUUCCUCAUUUGGGCUUCCCAGGUGGGCAGACGGUAGCUGAGGUCCCAAGUCCUCAGGCGUGCUUACUUCCCACAGAAGCUGCUCCCACCAACUGAGGAGCCCCUGUGGGCUUCCAUGAACCUUAUUUGGCUGGGGUGAAGACAAGAUGGCAGCAUGGGUGUGAACCACUGGGUGUCAUCUGGUUGGCCUUAGAGUAUAAGGCCUUAGACCCUCAGAUCCAGGUCGGCUUUGGAGCACAUUCAGAAGAGGGCAGACCCGCAGGGUGUGGAGGUUUUUGCUUUAUUUCUCCCUCCAGGAUUAGGACUGCCUUCCCUGGAAGCCAGCACCAAGCAGAAGAGGGUCAGUGCUCUCAGGAGCGGGAAAGGGACAAUGCAAGGGCCUCCUCAUGGUUCUUCAUUCAUUGCCCAUUACUUUCCUCUGGAACUCAAGUCUCCUCUCCGAUAUUUUCCUGUUCCCAUGGCGAUCCAAACCAACAAACGGUCUAGCCUCGGGUCUAUUCUGGCUGCCCCAGGAACGCCCCCUCCUGCCCGGUGCGCCUUGUGACUACCUUGCUUGGUUGGUGGUACUUAUUCCUCUCUGAGCGAUCCUACCGCUCAGUGGCUUCGUAGUUCUCCACCCCACCAGCAGAACAGCCCCGGGAUCUAAGAAUAACCAGACUCAUUUAGCACUUACUGCGUGCCAAGCUCCGUGCUGAGUCCUUGGAGUGUUUCAGCUCACUCUGCACUGGAGCAAGCAGACAGCAAGGAGGAAGCAGCGACUCCAUUUUACACUGGAGGCGGAAGGGCUGAGUGCCAGGCCCAUGGCUGCAGAGGAUGCCUGACCCCUCGUGUAGACCACAGGGGGCAGAACUGAAGAUCCUCUGGACACAACACGGUCACUCCAAGUGCUGCCUGGCUUUGGGGUCUUCUAGGAUUAUCCCAUGAUCCUCACACUGGACCCUUGUCUUGGGUGACAUUGAAUCUGCUUCCUUGUGAUUGAGCAGCCUUCAGAUGAAGAUG
rnacentral:sRNA from 1 species